GACGAACCGAGCGAACGUUGUUCGGAAUAACUGGGCUUAAAGGGCGCGUAGGCGGGCCGCCAAGUUCGAGGUGAAAUCCUCCGGCUCAACCGGAGAACCGCCUCGAAUACUGGAGGUCUCGAGGGUGGUAGGGGCACGCGGAACUGUGGGUGGAGCGGUGAAAUGCGUUGAUAUCCACAGGAACUCCGGUGGCGAAGGCAGCUCACUGGGACGGUACUGACGCUGAGGCGCGAAAGCGUGGGGAGCAAACAGG
rnacentral:rRNA from 1 species